UGGCUCAGAACGAACGCUGGCGGCAGGCCUAACACAUGCAAGUCGAACGCGUGUAGCAAUACACGAGUGGCAGACGGGUGAGUAACACGUGGGAACGUGCCCUUCGGUUCGGAACAACCCAGGGAAACUUGGGCUAAUACCGGAUAAGCCCUUACGGGGAAAGAUUUAUCGCCGAAGGAUCGGCCCGCGUCUGAUUAGCUAGUUGGUGGGGUAACGGCCUACCAAGCCUGUGAUCUGUAACUGGUCUGAGAGGAUGACCAGUCACACUGGGACUGAGACACGGCCCAGAGACCUACGGGAGGCAGCAUGUGGGAUCUUG
rnacentral:rRNA from 1 species